GGUCAGAAGUGAGAGGGCGCUUGAUCAGGGGGCUGAUCUCCCCCGCUCGCCUGUGCGAUCGGGCUGCUGGCUUC
rnacentral:tRNA from 1 species